rnacentral:SRP_RNA from 2 species
GCCAGGCAUGGUGGUGUACACCUGUAGUCCCAGCUACUGAGGAGGCUGAGACAGGAAGAUUGCUUGAGCCCAGGAGGUCAAGGCUGCAGUGAGCCAUGAUCACACUACUGCACUCCUGCCUGGGCAACAGAGUGAGACCCUGUCUCAA